UACGUAGGGUGCAAGCGUUAAUCGGAAUUACUGGGCGUAAAGCGUGCGCAGGCGGUAAUGUAAGACAGUUGUGAAAUCCCCGGGCUCAACCUGGGAACUGCAUCUGUGACUGCAUUGCUGGAGUAUGGCAGAGGGGGAUGGAAUUCCGCGUGUAGCAGUGAAAUGCGUAGAUAUGCGGAGGAACACCGAUGGCGAAGGCAAUCCCCUGGGCCUGUACUGACGCUCAUGCACGAAAGCGUGGGGAGCAAACAGG
rnacentral:rRNA from 1 species